rnacentral:rRNA from 1 species
AGCAGUAAGGAAUAUUGCGCAAUGGGCGAAACUGGACGCAGCGACGCCGCGUGGGGGAUGAAGGUCUUCGGAUUGUAAACCCCUUUCGGGAGGGAAGAUGGGAUGGGUAACCAUUCGGACGGUACCUCCAGAAGCAGCCACGGCUAACUUCGUGCCAGCAGCCGCGGUAAUACGAAGGUGGCAAGCGUUGUUCGGAUUUACUGGGCGUACAGGGAGCGUAGGCGGUUCGGUAAGCCCUCCGUGAAAUCUCCAGGCUUAACCUGGAAAGUGCAGAGGGGACUGCUGGGCUAGAGGAUGGGAGAGGAGCGCGGAAUUCCCGGUGUAGCGGUGAAAUGCGUAGAGAUCGGGAGGAAGGCCGGUGGCGAAGGCGGCGCUCUGGAACAUUUCUGACGCUGAGGCUCGAAAGCGUGGGGAGCAAACAGGAUUAGAUACCCUGGUAGUCCACGCCUUAAACGAUGGAUACUAAGUGUCGGCGGGUUACCGCGGGUGCCGCAGCUAACGCAGUAAGUAUCCCGCCUGGGAAGUACGGCCGCAAGUUGAAACUCAAAGGAAUUGACGG